AGAUUAUAUCUAUUAGCGAGUAAAAUGGUGCCUACCUUGAUUAAGGGUUUUGAUUGCAGAUCGUCGAAGUUUUAGGUUGUAAUUGCGCUUUAUGACGGCUAUUGCUGCUGUAUUCUUUUACUUAAUUGGAAAGCCACUUCGAUGAUUGGUAGCUGCAAGAAAGGAAAGCCAUAACUUGGAGUGCCCCGAGUCGAUUUAUUUUUUUCAACUCAAUCUGCCUGUGCGGUGUGUUGGCUCAUGAUGAUUAUGGCCUUAGUUUGUAUUGGUCGCACUUAACAGUCUAUGAAGCAUGGAUACAGAUAUGAACACUGGACACCCAUGGACAUGUACACGCACAGAUCUCCUGUCACUCAGGCAGCAAUCACCUUGGACCUUAGAAAGUUGGAUCUUCAAUAUUAGCUUUUGCUGGUAAAUAUCUCAACAUGUCCCGUUAAUCUUGUUUUUAUUUUUCUGUCUUUGCUAACCUGCUUGCUGAAAAAUGCAAUCUGGCCUGAAGAGGACGGGGUGCGCGUUCCUUUUGAUCAAAUCCCCGGACACAAACAAAUCCUGAAAUGAAGCAUCAAACUGGAUAGAAGCAGACCGUGGAUUCAAGGCCACAAGUGCCUUAGACAUGCAACCUUCAUUAUGCUCAUUGUAUUCUUGCAAGUAGUUCUGUACAUUCACUGUUGACUUUUUUGCAUUGAGGUCAAUGGAAAGAAUUUCAUCAGAAUCCUCCUUAAAAAAGUCCUCCAUGUCACUUUCUUCUGCCUCUGUCCACUCUCUUUCUGGUGUUGCUGGUUCUUCAAUGAUUGGUUCACACUGCCAACUUUGAGGACUUACUUGUCUGCUCAAGUUGUUCUCAAGGAGAGGUAGGACCAUGGGGUUCUCAUUGACAAAAUAGUUUCUCUCAGCUGCAAUGGGAACAUGCAUACUAACGAUGUGCUUCUCUUCUGGUCCAGGCAAGGCAAGCCGUGCACUGUACUAAAAGGAUUUUGGGAGUUAUGAUUUUACAAGGUUCUUUGGUCAAGUUUACACAAUCUGGGCCAGAGAUACUUCUGAACAGCUUCCAGCACUGGAUACCUACGUGGCAAAGUAGUUAGCACUUGUUAUAUAUGAUAUAUUUAUGUCUUCUCUGGUUGAGGCAUACAAUACUUACAGUUCAAGGAGGUGUAACUGAAGUGCUUCAGGAAGUGGUUGGAGAGGGACCCAUCCAAGUCUAACUGCUAUCCUUCCAACAUUGGUGUCAACCUUAAAGAUAUGAUUCAUUGCAACAUGUUAUUGCAUGGUUUUUUAGUGAUUUGCGUUGGUUAUAAGCAGUUAAUGGAUUCUAAAUGAGGCUUACAGGGAAAGCAAUAUUUUGAAGUGUCAGAAGCCGUACGCAUUCCACACUUUUUAACCCCAAUCCUCGAAAGCUCAGAAGAAAGUCUCUGCAUUUGAUAUUAAAACAUAUAGAAAGGACAUGGUUAAUUUGCAUUAUAUACUGGCAUAUGCAGUCACUGGUCGUCAAAUUUAUCAUCAGCUUUUGUAUAAUAGUGGGGGGGAAUAGAAAUAGCUGCAAUGGCAGCAAUCUUUUAAUGUUUUGUUCUUAGUGUCUGGUUCCCAUCAAGACUGAUUUAAGUCUGACUUUGGAACCAGUUCACUGAUAUAUCAUGCUAUUUGUAUCCUUAGUACCUCUGGUACUUCGUUAUUAAUAUAUAUUAUCUUUGCUGAUAAA